rnacentral:rRNA from 1 species
GACGAACGCUGGCGGCGUGCUUAACACAUGCAAGUCGAACGAUGAACCCGGAGCUUGCUCUGGGGGAUUAGUGGCGAACGGGUGAGUAACACGUGAGUAACCUGCCCUGGACUCUGGGAUAAGCGUUGGAAACGACGUCUAAUACCGGAUAGGACCUUGGAUCGCAUGAUCUGGGGUGGAAAGUUUUUUUGGUCUGGGAUGGACUCGCGGCCUAUCAGCUUGUUGGUGAGGUAAUGGCUCACCAAGGCGUCGACGGGUAGCCGGCCUGCGAGGGUGACCGGCCACACUGGGACUGAGACACGGCCCAGACUCCUACGGGAGGCAGCAGUGGGGAAUAUUGCACAAUGGGCGAAAGCCUGAUGCAGCAACGCCGCGUGCGGGAUGACGGCCUUCGGGUUGUAAACCGCUUUUAGUAGGGAAGAAGGGCUUCGGCUUGACGGUACCUGCAGAAAAAGGACCGGCUAACUACGUG